rnacentral:rRNA from 1 species
GUCUAGGGUCAUACCACCCUGAACAUGCCUGAUCUUGUCUGAUCUCAGAAGCUAAGCAGGGUCGGGCCUGUUUAGUACUUGGAUGGGAGAAAUAUCCUCUGUCUUAACUA